CUACGGGUGGCACCAGGCGAGAAAACUUUGCAAUGUGCGAAAGCACGACAAGGUUAAUCCGAGUGGUUUGUGCUAAACGAACCUUUUGACAGUCCUAGAAACACUGUUGAAUAAGGGGUGGGCAAGUUCUGGUGUCAGGCGCCGCGGUAAAACCAGCACCUCAAGUGGUCAGGAUGAUUAUUGGGCCUAAAGCAUCCGUAGCCGGCUCUGUAAGUUUUCGGUUAAAUCUGUACGCUCAACGUACAGGCUGCCGGGAAUACUGCAGAGCUAGGGAGUGGGAGAGGUAGACGGUACUCGGUAGGAAGGGGUAAAAUCCUUUGAUCUAUUGAUGACCACCUGUGGCGAAGGCGGUCUACCAGAACACGUCCGACGGUGAGGGAUGAAAGCUGGGGGAGCAAACCGGAUUAGAUACCCUGGUAGUC
rnacentral:rRNA from 1 species